GUGGAAGAGGAUAAAGCACAGUACACAGAUCAUGCACUCAUCACACACACACACACUCGUGGAGUGAAGACUUUCAGAGAUGACACUUAAGGAUUCUGAGGAAAUAUGAACUUCCUACAAUGAGAAAGAAUGUUGCCAACCUAAAAGAAUAACAGAUCAUAAUUUUGAAGAUGGAGUCUCGCUCUGUCGCCCAGCCUGGAGCGCACUGGCCGGAUCUCAGCUUUGCCUCCUAAAUGUAUCUCUAGGGUGGAGAAUGAAUGAUGCAGUCCUGUAUUCCACCACCUUGCUCCACUCUUCAGCAGAUUCCUUCUUGUCAUUUAAGCUGAGCACCAUGACCCUAACAACAAGCAGGCUGGCAGGAGAGCAUAUCUAGAGAAGCAUCACAUCACAGAGCCUGUAGGCUGAGGAUAGAAGGAGCCUGCUUCUUAUUCAUCCAGUGGCAUUACAAAGCUGGUCGGAAACCCCAGACUCCUCCUUCACCUUCCCCAGCAUCCCAGGAGCUGUCUGCUCUGGAAGAUGUUUCCACCAGCCUGAUUCCAAAGCACAGUUGUCCCU
rnacentral:lncRNA from 1 species